AUAAGCAGAGAGACAUUGGACACAUAAAACAGGGUAAAGUGUGGAUUUACAUGAAACUCUAAUGAAUUUUAUGGCAUCAGGAUUUGAGUGCAUAGCAGCAGAAUUAGCCAUAGUAUAAGCAAGAAAACAUUGGAAAGUAAAGAAUGGUAUCAGCAAGUGAAUACUAAGUGAGUGCAUAGCAGUAGAAUUAGCCAUAGUAUAAGCAAGAAAACAUUGGAAAGUAAAGAAUAGUAUCAGCAAGUGAAUACUAAGGUUGCCCAUGUUUUUUUUUUCUGAUUUUUCUUUGAACUUGAAAUGACUUUACUUUCA
rnacentral:lncRNA from 1 species